GACCUUCGAAAUUACGUGAGUUCCAUAUCGACAAUAGAAACUCUUUUGUUUGUCCGCCUUUAGUUUGUUCGACUCUUACAAUCCAGUGAGUAAAUGCAAUGACUCAAAUUUUCCUUCCAUGUCAGAUUUACAACAGAGAGCGUGCGGUAAGCGUUCACGUCACUGCUAUAACGAGCACAAACGUAUACACAUACAGGACAAAGUACUGUGUAUAUAAUCAUCGUCACUACCUGCAUAUCACAAACUUGGAAAGAUUUUGAUGGUAUAUCACUGUGUAGCAUAGUCUGCACUGAGAGGACAUUGCAUACAGAUCUGCCCAUUUCCGUGUCGGGAUCCGUGUGUAAUAUUUACUGAGCGAAAAGUAAUCGCAUUAUCACAGGAGAAAGAGCUCCAAAAUGGCGUCAAGGGAUAAAGAUGAUUUCAAUGCAGGAGAGAAUCCUCCUCAUGUUAUUGGAGCGUCGGAAUCCCAGGAAGGGAGCGGUUGUUGUGGAAUCCUACUGACGAUCUUGUCGGUGAUAAUCGUGAUCUGUACGCUGCCAUUUUCACUUUUUGUCUGCAUAAAAGUGGUGCAGGAGUACGAAAGAGCAGUUAUAUUCAGACUUGGGCGCCUCUUGUCUGGCGGUGCUAAAGGUCCAGGACUGUUCUUCAUCCUGCCUUGCAUUGAAGAUUACACCAAGGUAGAUCUCCGUACCAUUUCGUUUGAUAUUCCACCUCAAGAGAUUCUGACAAGGGAUAGUCUGACCAUCUCUGUGGAUGCUGUGGUCUUCUACCGUGUCAAGAAUGCUACCAUCAGCAUCGCCAAUGUGGAAGAUGCAGGCAGAUCGACCAAACUCCUGGCCCAGACAACACUUCGGAAUGUCCUGGGCACCAAGAACCUGGCCGAGAUCCUGGCUGAACGUGAAGGUAUCAGUCACUACAUGCAGUCCACCCUGGACCAAGACACCGACCCCUGGGGUAUCCAAGUAGAGCGAGUUGAGAUCAAGGAUGUUCGUUUGCCUGUCCAGCUCCAGAGAGCCAUGGCUGCUGAGGCUGAAGCUUCCAGAGAGGCCAGGGCUAAGGUGAUUGCUGCUGAAGGAGAACAGAAUGCUGCUCGUGCCCUGAAGGAAGCUGCAGAUACUAUGGCAGAAUCCCCAUGUGCCCUUCAGCUGAGGUACCUGCAGACUCUCAACACCAUCUCAGCAGAGAAGAACUCCACCAUCAUCUUUCCUCUUCCUAUUGACCUCUUGCAAGGCAUCUUGACUAAGUAAUUAAGUCAUUUUGGUUUUGAUGAUCAGUUCAAUUAUAUUUCUCAUACGAAUAUAUACUACGUAUUAUUUUAUAAAUACAUGUAUCUUAACAUCCUAUGACUAAUAUGAACAACUUUUACUAUAAGGUUGUAUUAUAAUAUGUCAUGCCUGUUUUGUAGAACUCUUUAAUGUAACUGAAACAAAGUAAAUCGAUUUAAUAAGUUUAUGCUACAUUAUAUAAAUUCCUUUCUAAUAACAUCUUCGUUCCGUGAACAAUAUUGUAAAUUAGAAAAAUGACAAUCUGAUACAAAAGGAUCUAUGGGUAAGAGUUGGAACGAUGAAGAUAAAAGAAAGAGAGAAGUUUAUACAUUUGAGCAAGGUUUACAGAGUAUCGUUUUCUUUUUAUUUCGUAACAUUCCCAGGCUAGGAUUAAACUUUAAUUUGGUGGAGGGGAAGACGUUAUGCAAAGUAAACAAAACGGUCGUUUGAGAUAUUGCUGCCGUUUCGAAUGAGGAUGACAGUCCCUGUUUUCCAAAUAAAAGUUAUUCGAAAGAAAAGCAGAAGUGUUGGAGGCUUCGUCAAUAGAUAAAACUUUCUUUUUGAAUAUGUGGUGUUCUAAUUAUAUACGUAACAUGUCUGUUAGAAUAUUGUGUAAAUUAAGUGCUAUGCCCUCAGUUGAGGAAGUUUGUUGCUUCCUCUGUUGUCCAAAGCUAAUAGACCAUUUCCGUAUUUCAAUCAAAUUUAAUGCAUACAUUUUUGUGUAGUGCCAUGGUACAUAUUAUUUCAUUUGCCUGUUAUGUUAUAUAUUAUUGUAUUUCAAUAGUCAGAAUGCGACAUGCAUACUUCAGUGCAUUAACUUUUGUUUAGUUUCACUGGUUAUGAGGCGUGAUAUAUGCAUAAAUACAUUUUAACUAAAUAUAUCUGAAAAGUUGUGGUUUAUCCUAAAGGGAAAUGGCGCAUAUAAUAAUGCAUUAUAUAUCCCAAGCACAAAUAGUUACUAAUUCAUAAACAUGUUGCCAUAUGUUGUUUUCUUCACACCCAAGCACUCGAGUUUACUUCUGUUAAUAAAAUGUACGGGUAAAUAUAAAACGUGAUAGACUAUACUCUCAUUGAUUGCAUGUCCUAGAUCACUAUCGACCUUCACAUACACAUCUUCUGUACAGAUUGUUUAUUACACAACUCUGUGGUUAUACUUCUUUGUGUGAUUAAUAUCUUUUUAUUAAGAUACUAUUUAUAAAUACGGAUACGGUGAAAGCAUGAUAACUAUUUUUAAAUUGGAAAUAAAACUGUUUUUACUUGAA